rnacentral:lncRNA from 1 species
UAUAUAUAUAUAGAAAAACCCUCCUUAUGGUUUCAAUUAUUUUCACUUUAGUACCCUGUGGUUUAAAAUGUACCAAGUUAGUGCCCUGUGGUUUAAAGUGUAUCAAGUUAGUACCCUAUGGUUUUGUACUUUAUCACUUUAGUACCAUGUGGUUUUAAUUUUGUAUCAAGUUAGUACCAUGUGGUUUUUUAAACUAUAGGGUACUAAAGUGAUAAAGUGUGAAACCACAGGGUACUAAAGUGAUAAAGUGCAAAACCACAAGGUACUAACUUGAUACACUUUAAACCACAGGGUACUAAAGUGAUAAAGUGAGAAACCACAGGGUACUAACUUGAUAGACUUUAAACCACAGGGCACUAAAAUGAAAAAGUGUGAAACCACAUGGGUUUUUUUUUGAAGUUUUCCCUACAUAUAUAUAAUUGAGCUAUAAUACUAUCGAUAGCAAAUGAGCUCCGUUGCCACCAAUUUGUUUUUGAUGAUGGAGCCUCCAAAUCGAUGAUCGGCACCGUUAAACAUGAUCUAUACCACUUGAAGUGUUUAAAAAUCAAAUAAAUGUUGCUCCGCAACAUUUAUUUAAAUUAUGCUAAUUAAUAUAUUUAGCAGCAUUACUUGAUAAUUGCCGCUAGAUUUAAAUAUUUAGCAGUAAUUUACUAUUAAUAUUGCAAAAUAGAAUAAAUUAGCAGCAUAAAUUAGUGAAUGCCGCUAAAUAUAAUAAACUAGUAGCACUUAUUGCUAAAUAUCGUUACUAAUCAAUAUAUAAUUAUUAAUAUAUCCCAUUUUUACUUAGAAUUAAAAAUUUUAAAAUUAAAGUUUAAAAUUCGAAACUUAUAAUUUUAAAAAUUAAACUUAUAAUUUAAAAUUUAAAAUUUAAAAUUUUAAAAUUUAUAUUUUAAAUUUGAAACUCUAAAAUUUUUUACUUUUAAUUUUUAAAUUUUUUAAUUUAUUUUAAAUUUAAAAUUUUAAAUUUAAAACUAUAAAUUUUGAAACUUAAAAUUUGAUAUUUGAAAAUUAAAAAUUUAAAUUUAGUAUCUAAAUUUAACAAUUUAAAAUUUAAAAUUUUACAAUUUUCAAAUUGAAGACUUAAAAUUUAAAAAAUUCAAAUGUAUAUAACUGAUAGUCACCGGCGCAAAUGGCAAAGGGCUUGGUGGUUGGUACUCGAGGUCUUAAGUUUGAAUCCUAAUUGAUUUAUAUUUUUGGCUAAGUUUAUUUUUAAAAGAAAUAAAUGAAGUAGGUAGCAUGCUACCUUUCUCUCAAAAAAAUUUAAACUAAAAUAAAAUUAAAAUUUUAAAAUUUCAGUUCCUAAAAUCAAAUAUUUGUAUUAGCGGCAUUAUAUUUAUGUGCUACUAAUAAACAACUUAAAAUUACCAUUUAAUCGUUUUUAGCGGCAUGUUCCUAAUAACACUAAUUUCACAUUGACACAUUUUUUAUAAAUGCUUUUAAUACUUUUAGCAAUAUUGGCAUAUACAGUAUUUGGUGUCAUAUGCUGCUAAAAAUUUUAGCAGCAUUUGUUGAUCAUUUAACAGCAUAAAUAAAUGCCACUAAUGACUAAUUUUCUCAUAGUAUUUGUAGGAAUAUAUCUGCAAUUCACCAUAUACGGGGACCUAUAUGCAAUUAAUCCUAUAUUAUAUAUG